CCCACCCCUCCUCACCUUGUUGCGGCCACUUCUCAUCGUUUUUGAAAAGCUUAUGUUUUCACUGCUGAGCCCUGAGCCAUCACCUCUGUGCUCCUGUGCUUCCCCCAGUGGGGCUGGGGUCGACUCCGGGACAUGCGCGACAGAAGGGCCUCACUCCUUCGCCCAGACUGGAGAGCAAUGGUGCUAUCCGGGCUUGAAACGCCAGGCUCAAGUGAUCCUCCCAUCUCAGCCUCCCAAGAAGCUGGGACUACAGGCAUGCAUCACCAUGCCUGGCUAAUUUGUUGUUGUUGUAAAGACAGGGUCUCCCUAUGUGGCAUAGGCAUGCUGGUCUCAAAUGCCUGGGCUUGUGCAGUUAUCGCUCCUUGGCCUCUCAAAGUGUUGGGAUUACAGGUGUGAACCACCAUGCCCAGCCAUUUCUUUUUUCUCUUCUUUCUUUGCUCACAGACUUAUCUGGCUGUCAUUUCAACUGGCAAUUCUAAGUAGAUGGCUCCAAUAGGACUUUUAUCCCCCAGCUUCCUCAAACUCCAGGUCUGCAUUUUUAGCAGCUCCCCCAAUGCCGAAGAUGCACCCCACAUCCCAUCAUCCAAACUCAAACUCUCCUUCCUCCACAUUUCCCAAACCAGCCACCACCACCUCCUGACUCCUGACAUCAUCCUGUUACCAUGGUUUCUAAGAUCUUUACCAUCCCCUCACAUUUAUGGUCACGUUUCCUGGUUAAAAACUCAACAUGGCCCUGUGAAUGCAAAGUCCCUGUGGAUCCAAGUAAAACGGAUCCACCAGGACUAGUCUUCAAAAUCAAUAGCCACCAUUCUGUGCAGGAAUCCAUUGCCAGGUGGAAUGCUUGGGCCUUCAUGUCCUCUGGAUUCUAGAGUCUAAAGGGAAGGGCAGGCUUUUAUAGACUCUGCUCGACAUUUGCUGAAGAUUGGGAGCUCCUCAGGGAAUGACUCAGCCCUCCUUGGGCAAAACAGAUAAUAAAUCAGACAAAAUCAGUUCUUUUAUGAGCAACUUGCUAUUGCUGGGUCACUCACUCUAUGCUAAAUGACCCUCUGGGAAGAGUUUCUAUGUUCAUAGUCCUCUGAGACAACAACUACUUUGUGAUGACAGCAGUUAAUGGAUGUUUGAAUCAAAGACAGAGAGAGAUAUAGGGUAAGGGCUAAGGUUAGGGUCCAGGGUCAAGGGCAGUGGCCAGCAUCACGGGGAGGAUUGGGGUCAGGAGGCCACGUGUGAAUGGCUGGAAGCCAUCCUGCUCCCUGCAAGGACAAACCUAUGCCAAAACUGUUCUCAUCUUCAGCCUCUCUUGCUACCAGGAACACCUGACCUCUCACUGCUUCACACCUCACACCCUCCUUCCCAACCCAGAACGACAGCCAUUGUCACCAAGGCCCUCGUGGCAGUACCUGCUGAACCCAGGACUGGCUGUAGGACGCGGAAUGGGGCAAGUAAAGAACCUUCCUUGGAAAUGAAAAUACUUCGUCCUGUCCUGUUCUUCCGAAAACAGAACCUUCCCCGACUCUGCCCUGCCACCUCCCAGAAUCAGAGGACCUGGGUUUCAGCCCCAUUUCUCACUGACCAGCUACAGAACUUACUACAAGAUAACAAGCCCUUUUUGUGUCCUGGUUUCUUCACCUGAAAACAAAACUCGUAAAAUGUUCCCUGCUCACUGUACAGGAUUGAUGUAAUGACGAUAAUGUGCUUGUGUGAAAGCAGUUCACUGUUGACAAGUCACUCUCGUUACAUCAUCUACUUGGAUCUUUACAAACCACCGUGUCAGAUAGGCAAGGAGAGCAUUUGAUACUCUUUUAUGGAUGAAGAA
rnacentral:lncRNA from 1 species